UGACGAGUGGCGGACGGGUGAGUAAUGUCUGGGAAACUGCCUGAUGGAGGGGGAUAACUACUGGAAACGGUGGCUAAUACCGCAUAACGUCGCAAGACCAAAGAGGGGGACCUUCGGGCCUCUUGCCAUCAGAUGUGCCCAGAUGGGAUUAGCUUGUUGGUGAGGUAACGGCUCACCAAGGCGACGAUCCCUAGCUGGUCUGAGAGGAUGACCAGCCACACUGGAACUGAGACACGGUCCAGACUCCUACGGGAGGCAGCAGUGGGGAAUAUUGCACAAUGGGCGCAAGCCUGAUGCAGCCAUGCCGCGUGUAUGAAGAAGGCCUUCGGGUUGUAAAGUACUUUCAGCGGGGAGGAAGGUGUUGUGGUUAAUAACCGCAGCAAUUGACGUUACCCGCAGAAGAAGCACCGGCUAACUCCGUGCCAGCAGCCGCGGUAAUACGGAGGGUGCAAGCGUUAAUCGGAAUUACUGGGCGUAAAGCGCACGCAGGCGGUCUGUCAAGUCGGAUGUGAAAUCCCCGGGCUCAACCUGGGAACUGCAUUCGAAACUGGCAGGCUUGAGUCUUGUAGAGGGGGGUAGAAUUCCAGGUGUAGCGGUGAAAUGCGUAGAGAUCUGGAGGAAUACCGGUGGCGAAGGCGGCCCCCUGGACAAAGACUGACGCUCAGGUGCGAAAGCGUGGGGAGCAAACAGGAUUAGAUACCCUGGUAGUCCACGCCGUAAACGAUGUCUACUUGGAGGUUGUGCCCUUGAGGCGUGGCUUCCGGAGCUAACGCGUUAAGUAGACCGCCUGGGGAGUACGGCCGCAAGGUUAAAACUCAAAUGAAUUGACGGGGGCCCGCACAAGCGGUGGAGCAUGUGGUUUAAUUCGAUGCAACGCGAAGAACCUUACCUGGUCUUGACAUCCACAGAACUUUCCAGAGAUGGAUUGGUGCCUUCGGGAACUGUGAGACAGGUGCUGCAUGGCUGUCGUCAGCUCGUGUUGUGAAAUGUUGGGUUAAGUCCCGCAACGAGCGCAACCCUUAUCCUUUGUUGCCAGCGGUCCGGCCGGGAACUCAAAGGAGACUGCCAGUGAUAAACUGGAGGAAGGUGGGGAUGACGUCAAGUCAUCAUGGCCCUUACGACCAGGGCUACACACGUGCUACAAUGGCGCAUACAAAGAGAAGCGACCUCGCGAGAGCAAGCGGACCUCAUAAAGUGCGUCGUAGUCCGGAUUGGAGUCUGCAACUCGACUCCAUGAAGUCGGAAUCGCUAGUAAUCGUGGAUCAGAAUGCCACGGUGAAUACGUUCCCGGGCCUUGUACACACCGCCCGUCACACCAUGGGAGUGGGUUGCAAAAGAAGUAGGUAGCUUAACCUUCGGGAGGGCGCUUACCACUUUGUGAUUCAUGACUGGGGUGAAGUCGUAACAAGGUAACCGUAGGGGAACCUGCGGUUGGAUCACCUCCUUA
rnacentral:rRNA from 1 species